AACGAACGCUGGCGGCAGGCUUAACACAUGCAAGUCGAGCGCAUCCUUCGGGGUGAGCGGCAGACGGGUGAGUAACGCGUGGGAACGUACCCUUUCCUACGGAAUAGCUCCGGGAAACUGGAAUUAAUACCGUAUACGCCCUUAGGGGGAAAGAUUUAUCGGGGAAGGAUCGGCCCGCGUUGGAUUAGCUAGUUGGUGGGGUAAAGGCCUACUAAGGCGACGAUCCAUGGCUGGUCUGAGAGGAUGAUCAGCCACAUUGGGACUGAGACACGGCCCAAACUCCUACGGGAGGCAGCAGUGGGGAAUAUUGGACAAUGGGCGCAAGCCUGAUCCAGCCAUGCCGCGUGAGUGAUGAAGGCCUUAGGGUUGUAAAGCUCUUUCAGUAGGGAAGAUAAUGACGGUACCUACAGAAAAGGCCCCGGCUAACUUCGUGCCAGCAGCCGCAGUAA
rnacentral:rRNA from 1 species